UACGGGGGGGGCAAGCGUUGUUCGGAAUUACUGGGCGUAAAGGGCUCGUAGGCGGCCAACUAAGUCAGACGUGAAAUCCCUCGGCUUAACCGGGGAACUGCGUCUGAUACUGGCGGGCUUGAAUUCGGGAGAGGGAUGUGGAAUUCCAGGUGUAGCGGUGAAAUGCGUAGAUAUCUGGAGGAACGCCGGUGGCGAAGGCGGCAUCCUGGACCGACAUUGACGCUGAGGCGCGAAAGCCAGGGGAGCAAACGGG
rnacentral:rRNA from 1 species